UACGAAGGGGGGCUAGCGUUGUUCGGAAUCACUGGGCGUAAAGCGCACGCAGGCGGAUUGAUAAGUCAGGGGUGAAAUCCCGGAGCUCAACUUCGGAAUUGCCUUUGAUACUGUCAAUCUCGAGUCCGGGAGAGGUGAGUGGAAUUCCUAGUGUAGAGGUGAAAUUCGUAGAUAUUAGGAAGAACACCAGUGGCGAAGGCAGCCCCCUGGGUCAACACUGACGCUCAUGCACGAAAGCGUGGGGGAGCAAACAGG
rnacentral:rRNA from 1 species